AGGUGUAGCGCAGUUUGGUAGCGCGCUUGGUUCGGGACCAAGAGGUCGUGGGUUCAAAUCCCGUCACCU
rnacentral:tRNA from 1 species